rnacentral:rRNA from 1 species
GACGAACGCUGGCGGCGUGCCUAAUACAUGCAAGUCGAACGCAGUGGGGACGGGUGAGUAACACGUGGGUAACCUCCCAUCAGACGGGAUAACACUUGGAAACAGGCGCUAAACCGAUAUUGAUGGAUGGACCCGCGGUGCAUUGGCUAGUUGGUGGGGUAACUGCUCAACAAGGCCACGAUGCAGAGUGGCCCGUAGAGGGUGACCGGCCAACCGGGGACAGGGACACGGCCCAGCCUCCUAGGGAGGGCAGCAGUAGGGAAUCUGCGGAAAUGGACGAAAGUCUGACCGAGCAAGGCCGCGGGAGGGAAGAAGGUUGUCGGAUCGUAAAACUCUGUUGUUAGAGAAGCGUUAUCUAACCAGAAAGCCACGGCUAACUACGUGCCAGCAGCCGCGGUAAUA